UACGUAGGGUGCGAGCGUUAAUCGGAAUUACUGGGCGUAAAGGGCGCGUAGGCGGCGACUCAAGUUAGAUGUGAAAGUCCUGGGCUUAACCUGGGGACUGCAUUUGAUACUGGGUUGCUUGAAUUCGGGAGAGGAUAGCGGAAUUCCCAGUGUAGAGGUGAAAUUCGUAGAUAUUGGGAAGAACACCGGUGGCGAAGGCGGCUAUCUGGACCGACAUUGACGCUGAGGCGCGAAAGCGUGGGGAGCAAACAGG
rnacentral:rRNA from 1 species